AUGGUCGGAUGAGAAAUUUACUUUCUUUUAUUUAUACAUAAAAUUUGAUUUUUUAGUCAAAAAGCUUAAAUAUAAUUAUAGGACGAGAAGACCCUAUAGAACUUUACUUUUUAUAAUUUUAUAAUUUUUUUAAAAAUAAUUUUUUAUUAUUUUAUAAAAUGUUUUAUUGGGGCGAUAAAAAAAAAUUCUUAACUUUUUUUAUUUUAAUCAUUAAUUUAUGAUUUUUUGAUCCUUUAUUAAGGAAUAAAGAUUAAGUUACCUUAGGGAUAACAGCGUUAUUAUUUUGGAGAGUUCUUAUUGAUAAAAUAGUUUGCGACCUCGAUGUUGGAUUAAAAUUAGUGUCAGGGGUAGAAUAUUGAUUACUAAGUCUGUUCGACUUUUAAAUUUUUACA
rnacentral:rRNA from 1 species